rnacentral:rRNA from 1 species
AUUGAACGCUGGCGGCAGGCCUAACACAUGCAAGUCGAGCGGAUGAAGGGAGCUUGCUCCUGGAUUCAGCGGCGGACGGGUGAGUAAUGCCUAGGAAUCUGCCUGGUAGUGGGGGAUAACGUCCGGAAACGGGCGCUAAUACCGCAUACGUCCUGAGGGAGAAAGUGGGGGAUCUUCGGACCUCACGCUAUCAGAUGAGCCUAGGUCGGAUUAGCUAGUUGGUGGGGUAAAGGCCUACCAAGGCGACGAUCCGUAACUGGUCUGAGAGGAUGAUCAGUCAAAAUGGAACUGGAAAACGGUCCAGACCCCUAGGGGGGGCAGAGGGGGGGAAUUUGGGAAAAGGGGGGAAGGCCUGAUCAAGCCAGGCCGGGGGUGGGAAGAAGGUCUUCGGAUUGAAAAGCACUUUAAGUUGGGAGGAAGGGAAGUAAGUUAAUACCUUGCUUUUUUGACGUUACCAAAAAAAUAAGCGCCGGCUAACUUCG